GAAAUCUGGUUUCUAUAGGAUUCCCUAGAAACUUGGUGAUAUAUUGAUUUUCCACAUGUGUAAACGCAUAUAAACAAGUUUAUUCUCCCCUUUCUUAAAAACAUCACCUUUCCUCUCGGAUUUUUUUCCAGUUUUCUUAUAAAGUAAAGAAAAAUACAUGCAUUAAAUACACUUGGAACAUAAUGUUUGGCGCUAUUGGUGGGGUGACUGCGUGUGCAGCGGUGUAUUCCGGUCAUCCGAAUAGUUUCCCAUGUUCUAGUUUGGGUGGGAGUGGCAGUGGGAGUACGUUCGAAUUCAUUUCUACAGAAAUUUCACUGCCGAAUGGACGAGGACAGAAAGCAAUUUGUGGAAACUUAAAACUCACUCAGCAAAUUGGGUAUAAACUGAUUAAAAUUGACACUAAAAAAUUGGACAAUUGGCAUUAUUAUGCAAUCGUGGUCGAACUGCAGGGUCACGUCACAAACGCAAAAGGAGAGAAAUCAUGCACCUAUUUACGACAACUACUACCAGAGACGAAUUCAGGAUUGAUUUGCCGUUCGAAGAUUUUUUCAUUGGUGUCUGGCCAAGAAAAUGGAAUAAAGAAAGAACUCCAUCGUGAAGAACUUCAUCCAUUCAUUCUUGAACAAAAUCCGGCCUCGUUCCCGUUCAAAAUUCAACUGCCAGAACACAAUUCCCAACUUCCGUCCAGCGUAGAGUGUGGUCGUUUUCGUAUCGAAUACUUCUUAGUGCCCUAUCUCCGAAUCGCGGCUAUAUUGAACUUGACCGAAGGGCGCUCCCCAGAUUUCGCGGUCAUAAUUUAAUCUCGUUUCAAAAUGAGGGUGAAAAAAUUAGUUGGAUCAGGUCCACUAAAGAAAUUAGUGUAAUUUUCAGCUCUCCACAGGUCUUUUAUAGGCUUAAUUGCUUUAACCAAGGGAUCAUUUACGAUGUGAAUUUGCAAAUUUUUGCAGAAAAUUUAGACCAAGUUGAAAUAUCUUGUGGGGUCGCGGUCGUAUAAAAAAUUACGAGAGGAGGGAGAACUCUUAGAGAGUUGAUCAUCGAUUCUAAAUCAGAGUCGAAAACGGUGGGAGGACAAAACUUGGGAUUUUCUGGAAAGCUGUGGGACUCAAAGAGCAGAACUGGGGGUGACAAGGUUUUGCUGACUUCAUCUAACCAAGAUGGGGAGAUGGGGUUAAAAAUCCAGCAUUUUUUGAGGGGAAGAAUUUAAAUGUUCCGGGCUUAUUCAUGAUGAGGCCUUCAAUUGCUGGGUAACCAAUCUAGCAAGUGUUGCGAAAUACAGUUCAAGAUAGACUUUUCGGACGGAUUGUGCGACUCGAAAUUGCAAAAUUUGGAAGGAGAGGAGGAAAUAUUUUUUGGGACAGGAAGACUUGGGGACGACGUUGACGCCGUGGCGCCAGGAACAUUGUCCAGAAUAUUGAGAUCCCACUCCGUGUCCUCCCUGCUUUCUCUCUGGCCACCAUCCUAUUCUCGUGCAGUGUCACGGCGAGGAUCGUUAAUGUCGUUGGAAACAUGUCAGUUAUUGAGCAGUAUUUGCAAAGUAUUUAAAUAACUUUGAAGGUUGGGAACAAGCCUGUUGUACCAGUACCUCCACAUUAUGAGGAUUUAUGCUCUGGUGGAAAAGAUAAGGGGACCUAAUUGAUACGGAGGUUAUCUGUAUGAUGCGAAGACUAUUAAUAGCAGAUAAGCCUCUUGCGUACAAAUGAGACGAAUUUUGAGCGAAAUUGAAAUAUAGUCGGAUAUUAAAAACACAUGUACAAAUUACUGUAUGAGGAACGAUACAUUUUGAUUUUAUUGAACGUUUUAAAAGUUUAUACUAUAUGCUAUUCAUGCAUGUAUGUAAAUUAUAAGGUAAAAGUAUUACUAUUUA